rnacentral:lncRNA from 1 species
GCUGCGCCACAGUUCUCUGUUCCUUUAAAAUAUUUUCCAUCGGCUUUUUCAAAGCGUCAAAAUUAAAAAUCAGACAAUUCUUUCGCGUGUCUAGUGCAGUUUCCAGUUUUUAUUGAAUAAUAGCUCGGGAAGAAGUGUGUUUGAUCUACGCGCUUUCGAUUAUAAGCGUUAGAAAAUUUUGUGAACUCGGCGACUCUGACAUAUCUUCGUCAUUGCGGUGAUGAGCGGUGUUGUUAGCGUCUUGUUUCGAUAGUCCUGCUCCGUCUUCCAUUCGACUCGUGCAAUUUACGACGAAGAUUUACCUUUGACGGACAUCAGAGCUGCCUAGUUCUUCGCAGUGCUGUUCAACUUUAAACUAGGAUGCGUUGUGCUGCAGUUGUGAAGGAGCAUCCAACAAGUCGUCAACAGGUCGCAGUUCCUCCAACGUCGUUGCCAGACUCCCCCUGUUCAUCGGGGGGAGUCCAGGGAACCGUC